GAUGAACGCUGGCGGCGUGCUUAACACAUGCAAGUCGAACGAUGAAGCCCAGCUUGCUGGGUGGAUUAGUGGCGAACGGGUGAGUAACACGUGAGUAACCUGCCCUUGACUCUGGGAUAAGCCUGGGAAACUGGGUCUAAUACUGGAUAUGACUUCUCAUCGCAUGGUGGGGGGUGGAGAGAUUUAUUGGUCUUGGAUGGACUCGCGGCCUAUCAGCUUAUUGGUGAGUUAAUGGCUCACCAAUGCGACGACGGGUAGCCGGCCUGAGAGGGUGACCGGCAACACUGUGAGUGAGACUAGGCCCAGACUGCUGCGGAAGGCAGCAGUGGGGAAUAUUGCAAUAAGGGCGCAAGCCCGAUGCAGCGACGACGAGUGGGGGAUGACGGCCUUCGGGUUGUAGACCUCUUUCAGUAGGGAAGAAGCGAGAGUGACGGUAACUGCAUGAGAAGAGCCAGCUAACUAGGUG
rnacentral:rRNA from 1 species